GCUAGCCCCACGCCCCACCAGCCCCAGAUUCGUUCCACAUCCCCCGGUUCCUUGCCCUCUCCCUCUCUCUGGACGACCUCCCCCGCCGCCGCCGCCACCACGUCUUCUCUUCUCCCCUCACCUCUCCCCAUCCACCAGCGACCUCCUCCUGUUCCCCUCCCGCAGAUUGAGCAGCAGGCUGCGAGGGCACGUCGUGGCAGGAGGUGGAGCAGAGCGGAUCUGCGGGUCGUCGCCGUUCUUCCGCUCGAGGCCACCCUCGUCCACGUACUUCUCGCCACCAUGCGUGGACGCCGGUGAGGCCACCCUUCCUUCCACACACAGGUACUCCCCCGCCCCCUUCCAUGCCCUCUACCUUUCCCUAAUUUAGCUCUCUUCCCUGACCAUGUCUAUCUUCUACACAUAGAGAGCUGUGGUGGCUGGACACCAGGGUACCAAAUUGGAGGCUAAAUAAGCAUAUAUGUCCAAUUCUCAGACUAGAUUUUAAUGAAGGAAGUUGCAGUUCAUUACACUGCAAAUUAUGAAUAUGGAUCCAUCCUUCUGUGCUAAUGAAGGGGUGGAUGUAAUAAGGCUGCUGGCAAUGCAUGGAUGCUUAGAUGAGAAAAGAAAUGGCAAGGAAACAGAGGGCGCAGGACUACUAGAGGCAAAGACAGACGGACGCGGUCGGAGCAGUAUGGCAGCGUCGAUGGGGAUGGAGGAGCGCACAGAGAUGCUGCGGAGCACUGCUGAUGAGCUUGUCGGCAGGACGAGCUGCACUCACUGCUGCACGGCAACCCCGGCCCGGUCUGCUUCGACAGGUUUGAGCCCUCCGUCACCGACCGCGUGCACAUCUAGCAGGGUGUUGGGAAGGUGAUCAAUGUGAACAAGAUGGUCAGGGCCAGAUAUAGAGUAAAAAUCCUAAUAGCGGACCAGAGGACCGGAGUGAAGGACUCGGCAAGAUAAGGACGUCGGUCGCCAAUUCACUGUGAUUGAGAUCCGCGUCGUAACCAGAGAGCAGUUGGACCAUGACAAGGACGUCGCCAUCGGCUAAUCCGCCAUGUGGGAUUAUUGUUUGACCUUUCACAGUUCCUCCAGUGUGUGCUGACAGAUUAAUCUAAAGCAUCAAGAUCUGUAAGUGCUCGUGGGUCCUCAAGGUGCUGGUUCGUGAGCUCAGUUUGUUUGGGACAUCGAAGGUUAUCUUGGGCGAUGUGCAUCAACAAAGAAGUUUACAAUUGCAAUGAGAUUGUUUUGAGGACAAAUCUACCGACCGAGGAGCACGCUAGCCAGGUAUACACAGGAGAAGUGUAUGAACUGUCUGUGCAAACCAUAUGUGAAUCUGAACCCUUCUUAGUGGAGGCAGUAAUUGCCAACUUGAAAUACAUAGCACCGCAUCCCAACAGUAAAACCAGGGAAAAAUGAUCUAGGUUGGAAUAUGGGGUCAAUGCUAGAGAAGACGGUGAAGCAUUCAUGUGCAUGUGCAAGGAGCAGGAGAUCCUGUGUUGCCAUGCCGUCAAGGUGAUGAUCCACCUGGGUGUGCGUGAGAUACCAAGGUUACAUGUUGUGCCACCAAGUUGCCACAGAGCCCUGGUGAAUCGCAGAUGGAUAGUGAGCUAUGAAAGCACUCCGUGAUGCAUGUUAAGUUCUGAGACCUGGCGCAUGACCCUUGUGAUGAUGAAGGGUCCUGGGCCUACAAAGUUGUCAUGAAGGGCCUCGACAGACUGAACCCAGACCUAGCCGCGCCAAACGCCGUGCCCCGCCGCUACAACAAGCCAACAUUACGGUAGCCGAGGAUCCUCAUUUAUUCCAAAAGGUGCCGAAUAUGGUUGACUAACUCCAGUCCAUGAGGAAGUAAAGGACAUAUAUUCAACUUACUAUGUCUAUUACGAACAGAGUUCCCUGGAAAUGUGUCAAAACAAAUAGCUGAUAACCAGCAAUUUUCCACCAAUGGAAGCCCCGUGUGAUUUAGGUACCAUUUGCUCUCUUGGAUUUUGUUAUUUAGCCAUGUCAUGUUAAAUAUUACGCGGCUUGCUAAUGUUAUAUAUUUAGUCGCUUAUAUGAUGUCUGUUUGGUCGUUGCUCUAGCCUCAGACCCAAGAAAUUUGUUUGUUUGUCCAUUUGACCAAAAUAAUCUGUGUUGCUUUAAAGUCCAGUAAACAAAGAAACAACUUCGAUGCAUGUAUAUGCCUUUCAGUUUCACUUGCAUCCAAUAAAUAUAAUUAUGACACUUGUUGUCUUGCUGUGUUGUUCAAUUAUCGCCAGGAUGUUAACAAGCCCAUUAUAUAUCCUUGGUAAACCACAUGAUACUGUUUCCUAAUCACAUGUUUUUCCUACACAAACUAUACGAGUUUUAUGCAAAGGUAUCAUCUAAAAGGAAUUAUGGGCUUCAUAUAUGCUCCAGUAUCAUAGUAUUUUUCCAUGGUUCAUGGCAAUAAUUUCUCUACUUGGGAUUCCAUAGAAUUCUUUUGGUCUGCAUAGUUUUGUUUUUACAGUUGAAAAAAACUAAUAAAUUAACAAGACCUUUUAUGCAUAAUUAUGUUGCCAUGAUAUGCAUAAUUAUGGUAGUUAGCAUAGUGACUUUGACACUUUUUAGAUAUGCUCCAACCUUGAGUUUACUCAAUCUCGCAUUAGCCUAUUGUGUUUGAAAUUUGCUUACAUGAAAACAGAUGUUGAAUUUUCCUUUGAUUUAUCAUUUGUCAGUUUUUAUCUUUUUGAUAUUUGCAUGGGAUGGAUUUGAACUUCACUCUUGCUAAAGCCCUGUAUGCGAGUUUGUUUGAGUUACUUGUAGAACAAAUUAACAAGGCCUUCUUAGUUGGCAAGCGUCGAGUUGGGUGGUCAAUCAGUUUCCCCCUGCAUCUGCGAAGUGGCAGAAGAAGGCUACGAUGGAUGUGCUCAGGGCGUUGCCAUCUCCAUCCCCGCACCAUCUUUGUCACAUGCAGCAUCUGACUUACCUCCUCAAGGCAGGAGUGGCUCUUCAAGGAGAAUGAGAUUGAGGAUGGAGGCACUGAACCCGCAUGCAUGAUGACGAUGCAUAAAAGUCACGUCGGCGGCUCCUGCGGGUUGACGUUGGCCGCCAACAAUGACGAGGUCGGCGGCUUUGAUGUGGGGGUCAUCGACCUUACCUCUGACGGGAAUUAGUAAUCUUUUUCUUUGGUUUUUAGUUAUUAUUAUGCUCGGUGUCCCGCUUCUGCGUUGUAAAAAUAAAGUGGGAAUUAGUAAUCUUUUUCUUUGGUUUUUAGUUAUUAUUAUGCUCGGUGUCCCGCUUCUGCGUUGUAAAAAUAAAGUGCGUGUCCACUUUGAUAAAUACGGAUGUCCACGGACUUAGUUGGUGGUAUCAGUUUGGUGAUCCAUGUUGAAGAUGCCCUAAUCUCCUUGUA